rnacentral:rRNA from 1 species
CAAAGGCUUGGUCCUGACCUUGCUGUCAACUUUAGCCAAACUUACACAUGCAAGUCUCUGCCCUCCCGUGAGAAUGCCCUACAGUUCCUCUUCCAGGAACAAGGAGCGGGUAUCAGGCACACCUCGAGUAGCCCAUGACACCUUGCUUAGCCACGCCCCUAAGGGAUUACAGCAGUGAUAAAUAUUAAGCAAUGAGUGAAAACUUGACUUAGUUAAGGCCUAGAGGGCCGGUAAAGCCCGUGCCAGCCACCGCGGUUAUACGAGCAGCCCGAGCUGACAGCACCUCGGCGUAAAGCGUGGUUAUAAUUAAAGUAAAUUAAAGCCGAAUGUUCCCUAGACUGUUAUACGCGUUCGAGAGCUAGAAGCCCCCCUACGAAAGUAGCUUUAUACUAUUGAAUCCACGAAAGCUAAGACACAAACUGGGAUUAGAUACCCCACUAUG